rnacentral:rRNA from 1 species
UACGGGGGGGGCAAGCGUUGUUCGGAAUUACUGGGCGUAAAGGGCUCGUAGGCGGCCAACUAAGUCAGACGUGAAAUCCCUCGGCUUAACCGGGAGGGUGGCAUUGAUACUGAUGGACUUGAGUGGAGUUGAGGUAGGCGGAAUUGACGGUGUAGCGGUGAAAUGCUUAGAUAUCGUCAAGAACACCAAUAGCGAAGGCAGCUUACUAAGCUCUAACUGACACUGAUGCACGAAAGUGUGGGGAUCAAACAGG